rnacentral:lncRNA from 1 species
ACUUAUGUUUUACCUCUAUAAAUCUAAUAAAAAUAGUUUCUCACACUAUUUUUAUUUAUUAUUAUUUUUAUACCAAAAUCUGGUAUAUUACAAAACCCAACCCAAAUCAAACUCAAAUCCAAAUCAAGUCUACAAAUACAACCCAAAUCAAACCCAAACUGAAACCAAGUCCAGAUAAAAAUCCAAACCUAAACCCAAAACCCAAAUCCAAACCUAAACCCAAAACCCAAAUCAAGUCCACAUAAAAAUCUAAACCCAAAUCCGAUCAAGUGCACAAAUAAAGACCCAAACUCAAAUCCAAUCCAGUCUACAAAUAAAUCCAAACUCAAAUCCAAUCCGAACCACAAAUACAACCCGAACCCAACUUCCAACUUAGACUCAUGAACCCAAAUUCCUUGAAUCAUGAACCAAAUUGAAACCCAAGUUCAAGAAUCAAAAACCCAAAUUCCUUGAGUCAUGAACCAAAUCGAAACCCAAGUUCAAGAAUCAAAAACCCAAAUCCAUGAACCAAAUGAACCAAGAUCCAAAAAUCAGAAACCCAAGUUCACAUACCAAAUCUAUGAAUCGCAUCCAAGUUCAUGAAACAAAUCCCAUACACCAAAUCUCAUGAACCAAACCAUACCAAAAUCUCAUGAACUAUAAAUCAAGUUCAUGAACCAAAUGAACCAAGUUCGCGAACCAUGAUCCAAAAAUCAGAAACCCAAGUUCAUGAACCAAAUUCCUUGAAUCAUGAACCAAAUCCCACAUACCCAACCUCAUGAACCAUACCCAUGAACCAUAAACCAAAUCCACGAACCAUACCCAAGUUCAUGAACCAAAUCCUAUAGACCAUGAACCAAAUCUCAAAGCUCAUGAACCAUAUACCCAACCUCAUAAACCAUGAACCAAGUUCAUGAACCAUGAACCAAGUCCAUAAACCAAAUCUAUGAACCAUACGCCAAAUCUCAUAUCCAUGAACUAAAUGA